AGGGAUGCAGUCUGGGACACGUAGUUGCAAACCUAGCGACUUUGUUGUUAGAUUCAAUGACUUUUCAGACCCCCUAACGACUUUUUUUUAGAAAGAAAGGGACUUUUAUCGACUUCUUCUGGAGUUUAGAGACUCUGACAUGAAGCAGGCUUUCCUUACUGAGGAGUUAGCAACGCUGCUACGGGUGCAGAGCCACACAUGCGCUCAGAGCUCUGCAUGGGAGACUGAAGCUGACAGAGCUGCAGCAGUUAGCAGGUUUCACCCUCAGAGACCACCAGGGGUUCAUGUUGAGGCAUUUUAAUUUUUUUUUUUUUUGUGCCAUAGACACUGUCAGCACAAUCUGCAGUUACACUAACAAAAAUGCUGCAAAAAACAAAGAAUUAUGGAAAAAUUACACAUGGACUAACAUAGAGGAGGAUAUACACAAGUUUUUUACAUCAUGUUUUACAUCAUGCAUCAUUUACAUCAUGUUUUUUUGUAGUGGCAUAAAUAAAAAGUGACAUUUGUGAGACUAUACAGUGUUUUGUAAAUAAUUUUACAAAGAACACCUGGGCCAUUGCCUGCAUUUUGAUGUAAAUAGAGGUAAAUUACUAUGUUCUUUGUUAAAAAUUUGCAUAUGUUUUGAAGUUUACAAUUUUAAUUUGAAGUUUAAGUUUUAAAAACAGUUCAUCACACAUAUUUGUGGUUUUCACAGUAAAAACGUUACUUUUUUCCACUCGGAUUUUAUGUUUUGUGUGUGAAUUUGGGUCCAAUGUGUAAAUAUAGUAUGUCAAAAUGAUAAAAUAACUGUAAAUUGACACAGGUGAGGUUGUGCUGAAAAAAAUGAUACCAGGCAAGGCAAGGUAAAAAUUUUGUAAGAGGAAAUAUAAAGGUAAAAUCUAAAGUAGUCAAAAACGGCCAAUAGUGACUCACAGACUCCACAGACAAGUCCCUUUGGCGCCACUCAGUGGGCAAAACUACUUUGUCUACUGUAAUGUAUAUUUGGGUCAUCUUUGGCGCCCCCUAAAACGUAAACCGUGGGGUGCAGCGUCAUGAUUUUUACAACUUUGAAUGGCCAUGGAGUGUAGAUUGGCCUGAGCAAAUUUGGUGUCAGUGGGACGAAAGCCUUAGGAGGAGUUAGCGAAAUUCCAAUGUGUGCGAAUCGGCAAAAAAUGCAAAAUAGCCCUUUUACCGUACAUUAUACAGAUACGCGCUCUUUGACUUUUUCGUAGAUCUAAUUGAGAUACACAUGAUUGUCAAUUUUUGUGUCAUUUUGCCAAAGCGUACAGGCGUGACAGUCAACAAUGUGUAUUUUCACCUUAGGGGACAAGAAAAAAUGGACUUUUUUCUCCUGCCAUGGGGGGGCGCUCUUUCAGGGAGUAAAAAUUCCUUCACAAAUGUGUUGAUGGCUGGACAUUGCAUCAUCCUAGAAAACUUGGAGGCCAGUGAGGACAAAAAUAAAAAGUUAUAAGACUUUUAAAAAUGUGGAUUUUUGGGUUAUCUUUGGCGCCCCCUAGAACGUAAACCGUGGGGUGCAGCGUCAUGAUUUGAAUAAGUUUUAAUGGCCAUGGGGUGUAGAUUGGCCUGAGCAAAUGUGGUGCCGGUGGAACGAAAGCCUUCGGAGGAGUUAGCGAAAUUCCAAUGUGUGCGAAUCGGCAAAAAAUGCGGAAUAACCCUUUAACCGUACAUUUGACAGAUACGCGCGCAUGGACUUUUUUGUAGAUCUUAUUGAGAUACAUGUGUGUGUCAAUUUUUGUGUCAUUUUGACAAAGCGUACAGGCGUGACACUCAACAAUGUGUAUUUUCACCUUAGGGGACAAGAAAAAAUGGACUUUUUUCUCCUGCCAUGGGGGGCGCUCUUUUGGGGAGUAAAAAUUCCUUCACAAAUGUGUUGAUGGCUGGACAUUGCAUCAUCCUAGAAAACUUGGAGGCCAGUGAGGGCAAAAAUAAAAAGUUAUAAGACUUUUAAAUAUGUGGAUUUUAGGGUUAUCUUUGGCGCCCCCUAGAACCUAAACCGUGGGGUGCAGCGUCAUGAUUUGAAUAACUUUUAAUGGCCAUGGGGUGUAGAUUGGCCUGAGCAAAUGUGGUGCCGGUGGAACGAAAGCCUUCAAAGGAGUUAGCGAAAUUCCAAUGUGUGCGGAUCGGCAAAAAAUGCGAAAUAACCCUUUAACCGUACAUUUGACAGAUACGCCCGCACUGACUUUUUUGUAGAUCUUAUUGAGAUACAUGUGUGUGUCAAAUUUUGUGUCAUUUUGACAAAGCGUACAGGCGUGACACUCAAUAGUGUGAAUUUUCACCUUAGGGGGCGCUAUGGAGCCAUUUUGCAUUUUCUUGUUUGGGCGACUUCGGAAUAUCAAAUUUUUCACCAGGCCCGGUCGUCCUGCGAAAUUUCAUGAGUUUUCGCCAGUGGGAAGUGGGCCAUUUUCCAGUUCAAAGGGGAGGAAAAAGAAAAAAGAAACAAAGAAAAACCCCUUGGGGAAUAAUAGGGCUCUCGCAGCUGCUUAGCAGCUACGCUCGGGCCCUAACUAGGGCCCCGUUGGGGCACUGGCGGGCCCGAGCCGUGUCACGCCGCCCCCAGCACGACCGCCUCCCCCACCCGAUCGCGUCACACUCAAGGUCCAAAGAUGGUGUGCGCACUUGUUUGUGGUCAUUUACCAUUAUAAUGAACGGGAGGCGCAGUUUCUACCAAAACGCUCGCUGCAGAAAAACUCCAUGUCCUAUUUGAAAAAAGUCUGGACCAUGAGUGAGGGCACAAACACAGCUAAGAUAUAUCCAAAUGGCAAGUUGCUCCUCCUUUCGCUUUUGCCGAGAGAGCAGUGCGUUUGAGCCAUUGAAUGAUGAACAGGAAAAACUUGACUUUAUUCUCCUGCCAUGGGGGGGCGCUCUUUUAACGAGAAAAAACUCCUUCACAAAUGUGUUGAUGGCUGGACAUUGCAUCAUCCUAGAAAACAUGGAGGCCAGUGAGGACAAAAAUAAAAAGUUAUAAGACUUUUAAAUAUGUGGAUUUUAGGGUUAUCUUUGGCGCCCCCUAGAACCUAAACCGUGGGGUGCAGCGUCAUGAUUUGAAUAACUUUUAAUGGCCAUGGGGUGUAGAUUGGCCUGAGCAAAUGUGGUGCCGGUGGAACGAAAGCCUUCGGAGGAGUUAGCGAAAUUCCAAUGUGUGCGAAUCUGCAAAAAAUGCGAAAUAACCCUUUAACCGUACAUUUUACAGAUACGUGGCCAUUGACUUUUUCGAAGAUCUUAUUGAAAGACACGUGUAUGUAAAAUUUUGUGUCAAUACGACAAAACAUACAGGCGUAGCACUCAACAAUGUGUAUUUUCACCUUAGUGGACAAGAAAAAAUGGACUUUUUUCUCCUGCCAUGGGGGGGCGCUCUUUUGGGGAGUAAAAAUUCCUUCACAAAUGUGUUGAUGGCUGGACAUUGCAUCAUCCUAGAAAACUUGGAGGCCAGUGGGGACAAAAAUAAAAAGUUAUAAGACUUUUAAAUAUGUGGAUUUUACGGUUAUCUUUGGCGCCCCCUAGAACCUAAACCGUGGGGUGCAGCGUCAUGAUUUGAAUAACUUUUAAUGGCCAUGGGGUGUAGAUUGGCCUGAGAAAAUGUGGUGCCGGUGGAACGAAAGCCUUCGGAGGAGUUAGCGAAAUUCCAAUGUGUGCGGAUCGGCAAAAAAUGCGGAAUAACCCUUUAACCGUACAUUUGACAGAUACGUGCGCACUGACUUUUUUGUAGAUCUUAUUGAGAUACAUGUGUGUCUCAAUUUUGGUGUCAUUUUGCCAAAGCGUACAGGUGUUACACUCAACAAUGUGUAUUUUCACCUUAGGGGACAAGAAAAAAUGGACUUUUUUCUCCUGCCAUGGGGGGGCGCUCUUUUGGGGAGUAAAAAUUCCUUCACAAAUGUGUUGAUGGCUGGACAUUGCAUCAUCCUAGAAAACUUGGAGGCCAGUGAGGGCAAAAAUAAAAAGUUAUAAGACUUUUAAAUAUGUGGAUCUUAGGGUUAUCUUUGGCGCCCCCUAGAACCUAAACCGUGGGGUGCAGCGUCAUGAUUUGAAUAACUUUUAAUGGCCAUGGGGUGUAGAUUGGCCUGAGCAAAUGUGGUGCCGGUGGAACGAAAGCCUUCGGAGGAGUUAGCGAAAUUCCAAUGUGUGCGGAUCGGCAAAAAAUGCGAAAUAACCCUUUAACCGUACAUUUGACAGAUACGGCCGCACUGACUUUUUUGUAGAUCUUAUUGAGAUACAUGUGUGUGUCAAUUUUUGUGUCAUUUUGACAAAGCGUACAGGCGUGACAGUCAAUAGUGUGAAUUUUCACCUUAGGGGGCGCUAUGGAGCCAUUUUGCAUUUUCUUGUUUGGGCGACUUCGGAAUAUCAAAUUUUUCACCAGGCCCGGUCGUCCUGCCAAAUUUCAUGAGUUUUCGCCAGUGGGAAGUGGGCCAUUUUCCAGUUCAAAGGGGAGGAAAAAUAAUAAUAAUAACAAAAGAAGGAAACAUGCAGGAACAAGAGGGCUCUCGCAGCUGCUUAGCAGCUACGCUCGGGCCCUAAAAAGAAAGAAAGAAACAAAGAAAAACCACUUGGGGAAUAAUAGGGCUCUACGCCCGGCUGCUCUGCAGCUGGCUCGGGCCCUAAGAAAGAAAGAAAGAAAGAAAGAAACAAAGAAAAACCACUUGGGGAAUAAUAGGGCCUACGCCCGGCUGCUCUGCAGCUGGCUCGGGCCCUAAAGAAGGAAACAUGCAGGAACAAGAGGGCUCUCGCAGCUGCUUAGCAGCUACGCUCGGGCCCUAAUAAUAACAAAAGAAGGAAACAUGCAGGAACAAGAGGGCUCUCGCAGCUGCUUAGCAGCUACGCUCGGGCCCUAAUAAUAAUAAUAAUAACUAGGGCCCCAUUUGGGCACUGGCGGGCCCGAGCCGUGUCGCGCCGCCCCCAGCGAGACUGCCUCCCUGUCCCAUUCACGUCCUCUGGCUGUCGCCCUCUCUGGUGACGCCCAUCACUGCAAAGACCCUUUUCCUUCAUCGGCGUUUGCUGUUCUUCCUGCCAGUGCGUGUUGCUUUCACUUACACUUGCCACAGCCAGCCUCGUGAGUGCCUAGCCUAUUGGAUAUCACUGUCACCUACACAGGACAGUCAUUACCUUUCUAUUAAUACUUUGUUUUUAAUUUCACAUUAAUUUCCAUAUUGUAUAAAUGACUGGAAAAAACUUGAGCCCCUGCCCCUGUAUAAUCAUGUGCACGUCCCUGUUCUGGCUCCAAGGUGAAUCUUCAUUGCUCAUGUUCUCCUCAGAAGCAGUCAUCUCACUCCCCUCAGGUUACUGUACACAUGCACCAACUGCCUGCUUCAGGUUUGGAUGGAGCUUCAUGGUUGUCUUUUGGAGAAAUGAGCAGUCAAGUUGUGUUUGAAAUUUGAUUUUUUUCAGGGGCAAAAGGAGCCUCUGCAUUCUUGUCAAAUAUGUAAAUAGCAUGUUUUUGCAGGUACUAAAAAACAGACUCUGAGUGUGUGUGUGUGUGUGUGUGUGUGUGUGUGUCUGUGUGUGUGUGUGUCUGUGUGUGUGUGUGUAUAUCUUGCAGUGCUCUGAGAAGAAUAAUAAGCAUAUUUCUGAGGUGAAUUUUGAAGAUUCAUCUGAGAGUUAGGAGGGCUGAU
rnacentral:lncRNA from 1 species